rnacentral:lncRNA from 1 species
CAUCGAUAAAUUUUGCUCUCUGAAACUAGAAAAAACUCUAUCAGUAGAAAAUUAAACUAGACUCUUAGUUCCUAUCCAGUUCUCCUCCAGUUCAAUUCAAUUUCUCUCUCUCUUCCCUUCUUUUCUACCUUUGUUCUCAAAGUUCGAACUGACUUAAGCAUCGAAGCAUCAAGAAUCAGAGGAUCCCCAUUCGAUUUUUUGACUGAU